rnacentral:rRNA from 1 species
UGCGUCCGAUUAGCUAGUUGGCGGGGUAAUGGCCUACCAAGGCGACGAUCGGUAGCCGGCCUGAGAGGGCGAUCGGCCACACUGGAACUGAGACACGGUCCAGACUCCUACGGGAGGCAGCAGUGGGGAAUAUUGCGCAAUGGGCGAAAGCCUGACGCAGCGACGCCGCGUGGGUGAUGAAGGCCUUCGGGUCGUAAAGCCCCGUCUGGUGGAACGAAACGCCUGGCGGCCAAUACCCGCUGGGUUUGACGGUACCACCGAAGGAAGCCCCGGCUAACUACGUGCCAGCAGCCGCGGUAAGACGUAGGGGGCGAGCGUUGUUCGGAUUUACUGGGCGUAAAGCGCGCGUAGGCGGCCAGAUAAGUCGGGUGUGAAAGCCCUCGGCUCAACCGAGGUUCCGCAUCCGAUACUGCUUGGCUGGAGUCUAGGAGAGGAGAGCGGAAUUCCCAGUGUAGCGGUGAAAUGCGUAGAUAUUGGGAGGAACACCCGUGGCGAAGGCGGCUCUCUGGACUAGUACUGACGCUGAGGCGCGAAAGCUAGGGGAGCGAACGGGAUUAGAUACCCCGGUAGUCCUAGCCGUAAACGAUGGGCACUAGGUGUGGGAGGUAUUGACCCCUUCCGCGCCGAAGCUAACGCAUUAAGUGCCCCGCCUGGGGAGUACGGCCGCAAGGCUAAAACUCAAAGGAAUUGACGGGGGCCCGCACAAGCGGUGGAGCAUGUGGUUCAAUUCGACGCAACGCGAAGAACCUUACCAGGGCUUGACAUCCCACGAACCUGCCUGAAAGGGCGGGGUGCCCGCAAGGGAGCGCGGAGA